rnacentral:rRNA from 1 species
ACGUAGGUCCCAAGCGUUAUCCGGAAUUAUUGGGCGUAAAGGGUCCGUAGACGGUUUAUUAAGUCUGGUGUGAAAUAUGAUGGCUCAACCAUCAAAACGCAUCAGAUACUGGUGAACUAGAGUAUGUUAGAGGAUAGUGGAAUUCCAUGUGUAGCGGUGAAAUGCGUAGAUAUAUGGAGGAACACCAGUGGCGAAGGCGGCUAUCUGGGACAUUACUGACGUUGAGGGACGAAAGCGUGGGGAGCGAACAGG